UACAGAGGUCUCAAGCGUUGUCCGGAAUCAUUGGGCGUAAAGAGCGUGUAGGCGGCUCGAUAAGUCUGCUGUGAAAGUCCAGGGCUCAACCCUGGAAGGCCGGUGGAAACUGUCGGGCUAGAGUCCGGAAGAGGCGAGUGGAAUUCCCGGUGUAGCGGUGAAAUGCGCAGAUAUCGGGAGGAACACCAAUGGCGAAGGCAGCUCGCUGGGACGGUACUGACGCUGAGACGCGAAAGCGUGGGGAGCAAACAGG
rnacentral:rRNA from 1 species